GGGGUGUUAACACUUCCCUAUGCUAUCCAAAGAUCAUUCAUCAGACGGAUGGUUAAGUGUUCUGGCUCUUUUAGAAAAGUCUCAACUUCGCAGGUCCUCCAGGUUAGCAGAGAAAUGAGUUAUCAAUAGGCAACACCUGAGACGCUAACAUAAAAGAUGCUCAAAGUGGCACCUUGUUGCUGGCAGCAACUUCAGUGUUUGGAAUUGGUGCCCAUUGGCUGGAUUCUGUGGUUUGGACCUCGACUGUUUGUUAACCUCCUGUUUGGAAACGGGGUCUUGGCUUUAUGACAAUGAGAGCGAAAAGAGGACAGAAGCAAGAGGAACAAUUAAUAAAGACCUAUAAUUUAGCUCUCUAAACAAAACAAAAUAACCACCUCUGAUCCCAAGAAUUGUCGAUAAGGGAUACCCAAGCUGUAAUGCCCUUUCACAUUUCAAAGUGUGAUGGCUACUACCUCCAGGAUCCAGAAAUUAGUUACUUUGAUUAAGGCAGGGUGGCUGUAAAAGCUGGAAACAGAACAGCAGGGGAGCCAGCACCAUGCACAGUGAGAAUCGGAGAAGAGAAGAGGCAAAACUGCACGAGAUCUUGGACCCGACCCAAGUGCCUGCCUCAGCCUUCUGUUGCAGCAGCUUUGGAAAGCAGGAGAAAAGAAACAGCCGGCUGUAAUACUGUGGAACAAAUGCAUUCAGCUGAGAAGCACCUGGCCGCCUUUCAAGCUUGCCCCAUGUGUGCCUUGGGAGGGUUACUCAUUCAGCAUCUAGCCUGGGAUCUGUAGGGAAUACUAGGCACAUGAGGUCAGAAUCUGCUCCCAGGUGAGCAUUUUCCUCACCUCCCAAUGCUAUGAAAUGAAAGGAUGCAGGUCAUAUUUUGAUGGCUUUUAAUUUCACCUUCUCAGGUAUCUUCAUAUAUAGCCCGAAAAGUAUAACUUGUCAUGUCACUGGGGCAUCACCCUGCUUUUCUUAUGACAUGAUAACUUGGGGAUAGUACAUCCAGUGAACUGGUUAUCAGUAGACACGAGAAAUUCAUAUUACUGACUUACUGAAUUCACUACUAUAAGAUCUUUUCAUGUUUCAUGAAAACAUCUGAUUAUAGUUUUGGGGAGGAAAAUAAGCUGAACAGGUCCAGGAGGGCCUAUUUUCUCAAGUAAUUUGGGGGGGGGGGGGGUUUGUCAAGACAUACAUAUAAAUAUAGACAAAUCAAAGAUAUGGUUUUGUUUACUAUUUGUUUACUAAUAUGUAAAUGAAGAAAAAUUCUCCCAAAAUAAUGUACCCUCAUUUUCCCCAUGGAGUCUCCUUUUUUGUUUUGUAUUAAUUUGCUGGGAUUUAGAAAUAUUUGGAGGGCAUAUUAAUUUGAAGUGAUGUAGCCACUGCUAUUUUCCCUGUGACAGGGCUUGUGAUAUGUUUUGAAAUCAUGUACAACCCUAACACUCUCUAUUAUGCUGCAUCACCAUAUUCUUUUCUGCAAUGCUUUGCUUCUAUUAUGAAUUUCCUGAAGCUGAAAUUGUAGCAAGUCCAUGGAAAGUUUGUUUUGUAUGGCCCUCUUGUAUGUGUUGUUUGUACCCUCUUUAGGUGUGCACAGAGCUUUUAAGACUUCAGUAUCAUGAACUCUCAUACCUUUGAUUUGUAUAAUCUCAAAAAUUUGUGCAUUUUUGGCCAAUUCUAAAAAUGAAUGGAUAUAGUAAUUUUUCCUAGGAAUAGGCAUAGCAUAGUUUGUUAUGUUUGUGUGGGUUAAAUAUUCUGAAUUCAUUCACUCUUCAGUUAUAGUGAAUAGGAGGUACAGUAGAGUCUCACUUAUCCAAGAUUCGCUUAUCCAAGGUUCUGGAUUAUCCAAGGCAUUUUUGUAGUCAAUGUUUUCAAUGUAUCAUGAUAUUUUGGUGCUAAAUACAGUAAUUACAACAUAACAUUACUGCGUAUUGAGCUACUUUUUCUGUCAAAUUUGUUGCAUAACAUGAUGUUUUGGUGCUUAAUUUGUAAAAUCAUAACCCAAUUUGAUGUUUAAUAGGCUUUUCCUUAAUCCCUCCUUAUUAUCCAAAAUAUU
ensembl:lncRNA